rnacentral:lncRNA from 1 species
AUGGCUAAAAAAGUUGUGGAAUAUUAUCCUAUGCUGCAGGAUAAUGAUGCAAGCGUAAAACACGAGAGCAUUAAUGCCAAGUUACAAAAAAGGCUGCAAAAUAUGAAAACCCCAGUAAAAAGGCAAGGACCAACACCGGAGAGGGGACGGCCCAAGAGAAGGCUCACUGACCUCUCCCCAAGGGAUGAAGAAGCUGAUGAUGAAGAUGCUGAUCGCAGUUCUUCCAGUGGUGCAUCUACUCUGUUAUCACCUGUCAGAAAUUCUGACGAUGCCUCCACUUCAUCUGACAAGGAUAGUCGGCAAAUACAAGCAAGACAUUACAAAACAUUACAAGAAAUGUGCAAGAAGGCAAAACCAAACCAAGAAGAUGUGUCCCAGCUAUUAGACCUCGAGUUUGAAGCCAGAAGAUCCUUCAUUGACUCAGACACCAUGAAAGAGGAGAACAGAGCUCGCCUCAUCUUGGAUGCAUAUCCAUUCUUUAAAGAAUUGCAUCAUGCAUUGGGUGAGCUUCGCAGAAUUUUGGAUCCCCACAACAAGUUCAUCAGUCAAAUAAAACUGAGAUGGGAAGAAUUCUGCUCCAGGGUAGAGUUCUACGGUGUGUCAAAGAAGGCAAUGAAUCCACCAAUGACCAUGGACAAAACUGAAGCCCACCUUGCACUGAUGAAGGCUCUUCCAACGCUCUUUCCCACACCUGCCCAUCCACCAAAAAAGAUGGGGAAUGCUUCUGAAGCAUUUCUACAUGUCCUGAAGGUAAGUUUUGUAAAAUUUGCUUAUAAAGAUCUACAGAAAAUUUGGCAAACGAAAUUUUUCGGUCAAAUAUGACUCCAAAAUGCUUUUUCGGUUUCAGCCGAAAGACUUAAAUCUAUAAUUUAUUGUUUUCAUUAAUUUAUAACGUAUUUAAUGUACACGAGUGUGGUCACAUAAGGAGUCGCUUGACACUGAUAAACCAUAAGUCAUAACUAUUAUAAAAUGUGUGUAACCAACAAAGAACAAGAUAAUGACGUCUCCGACGUUAUGACCAAAUCCCAGCAAAAAAACAUACAAUUAACAUAAGAUGUUAACUGUCAUGUCUUUUGUGUCUUGCAGCCUACAGAAGAUCCAGAUGCUGUCCUCCAGAAACGAAGCUUGUCAUGUCCAGUAGUGAUGUUCGAUGGCUGCAAGUGUGUCAUUGCUGUUGGUAAUUUACCAGUUACAACAUUUGACAAAGAAAAACUUGGUGAGGCUAUGAUAUAUGUGAUGGCAUACUUUUAUGCACUCCAUCUGACUUACCCCAAAUGCGUGGCAACCCUGCUGUCUGUCAUUCAGACAGAAGUUCUCCAGGAUGCCAUUCAUGAGCAUGACACUACAUCAUCUUACAGAAAAGCCCUGGCAGAAUGGCAUGCAUUUAUUGGAAAGUAGUGUGUAAAUUUCAGAUAAGAUUAUGAGAGGGCACUUUUGUUUUGUUUUUUGUUUUUUCAAUCUGGGUCUUAUUUCUAAAAUGGAAAAUGUUCAUUUACUCACCCAGACAAGAUCUGUGGUAUUUGGUGUCAUUCGAAAGAAAUUUGAAUCUUUGUGGUCUUCCUAUGUCACUCGUCAAUUUUAAUGGGGCAAUGGCGAAACCUCUAAGGCUGUUGAAAUGUUGAAACCACUUAAACAAACUCAUAAUGUUGGACCUGUACUGUUCAAUUGUAUCUUUAUUAUCUGCAGGUUAUUGUUAAAGUGGACAAAUAAAGAUGGACACUUUUGCUCUGUUUCAGUUUUGUUUUGUCCUUAAUCAGCAAUAUAAUCUUAAAGUAGUGUUUAGCUAAAUUUAAAAAGCAGAAAUAUCUUUAAAAUGAUUUAAUGUACUAGUUUUUAGACUAUUUGCCUUGAUUUGUUCGUUAGAAUAAGUGUUUUAUGCCUAUUUUCAGAUUUAAUUUCUUCAACAUUUUACUUAGAACAAGUGGUUAAAGCUUAUUUUUAGGUUUCAAGCCAUGAUUGGUUGCCUGGAAUAAGUGUAAAAGACUUAUUUUUAUCUUUAUUAUCUUUAUUUGUGGCCUACAAUAAGUGGUUAAAGCUUAUUUUAAGUUUCAAUUGUUCUGAUUUGUUGCCUGGAAUAAGUGUAAGAGACUUAUUUUUAGCUUUAUUAUCUUAUUUGUGGCUUACAAUAAGUGGUUAAAGCUUAUUUUAAGUUUCAAUUGUUCUGAUUUGUUGCCUGGAAUAAGUGUAAGAGACUUAUUUUUAGCUUUAUUAUCUUAUUUGUGGCUUACAAUAAGUGGUUAAAGCUUAUUUUAAGUUUCAAUGUUCUGAUUUGUUGCCUGGAAUGAGUGUAAAAGACUUAUUUUUAGCUUUAUUUAAAUCUAGAUAUUGUUCUUAUUUCAAGAAAUCUUGUUAAGAAAAAAACACUUACCCCAUGGGCAGAUAAUUUCACUUGUUUUAAGCAAAUCUUCACCAAAAAUAAGUGUAUUUUUCUAGUAUUAAGGAGGUGGGUUUUUGCAGUGCAAACUGUACAACUUGGGACUUGGGGAAAGUCAGAGGACUAGCAGGCUGAGGAGAGGGGUGAAUGAUGUCAGAGACUGCAAUAAACCAAACAAAAUAGACCAACACUUUGCCAUUGUUCACACUUUAAUUGCUGGAAUUCCUUUGAUUGUUACCUUUUUAAAUUCUUACUGCUGUUGAUAUUUUGUUUUUAAUUAUUUGUACCUUUUGGGGGUUUUCUGUUUGUUUGUUUGUUUUGUAUUUAAUGUGAACUGAUGUUGUGCUGCUGGAAUCAUAAUUUCCCUAAAGGGACCUCCCCAAGGGAUUACACCAAGUUCCAAAUUAUUAUGCAAAUUGUGUUUAAGUCUCAUAAAGAUUAAAUAAGUUGUUUUUCAAUUAAACCCAUGGAUGGAAUUGUGUCUCAGGACUCUUUGUAUCACUGAAAACAAUCUCGAACACCUGUGAUCAUUAGUUUGCCAGGUGAGCCCAAUUAAAGGAAAAACAACUAAAGAAGGAUGUUCCACAUUAUUAAGCAGACCACCAUUUUCAAGCAAUAUAGGAAGGAAAAAUGAUCUCUGCUGCUGAAAAGCGUGAAAUAGUUGAAUGCCUUGGAUAAGUAAUGAAAACCUUAGAUAUUUAACAAAAAUUUACCAUAAUGGUAAGGGAUUUGUGGCAGAGCACACAUAGGUUCGUGCAGAUAAAGGCACAAUGAUGAAGGUUUCUGCCAGACAAAUACAUCAGAUUAAGAGGGCAGCUGCUAAAAGGCUAUUACAAAGCAGCAAACACAUAUUUGAAGCUGCUGGUGUCUCUGGAGCCCUGCAAACAUCAAGGUGUAGGAUCCUCCAGAGACUUGCUGUUGUGCAUAAACCUAUUCGGCCACCCCUAACCAAUGCUCACAAGCAGAAACGGCUGCAGUGGGCCCAGAACUACAUAAAGACUAAUUUUCAAACAGUCUCGUACACUGAUGAGUGCAGUGCAACCCUGGAUGGUGCAGAUGGAUGCAGUGGUGGAUGGUUGGUGGACGGCCACCAUGUCCCAACAAGGCUGCGUCGUCAGCAUGGAGAGAGCUGGUCGGUCCCUUUAUGGUCCCUGAAGGUGUGAAAAUGACCUCUGCAAAGUACGUGGAGUUUCUGACUGACCACUUUCUUCCAUGGUAGAAAGAGAAGAACUGUGCCUUCUGCAACACAACCAUCUCCAUGCAAGACAAUGCACCAUCUCAUGCUACAAGGAAUACCUCUGCAUCAUUGGCUGCUAUCGGCGUAAAAGGAGAGGAACUCAUGGUGUGGUCCCCAUUCUUCCCUGACUUCAAUCCUAUUGAGAACCUUUGGAACAUCCUCAAGCAAAAACUAUGAGGGUGGGAGGCAGUUCACAUCCACACAGCAGCUCAUGGAGGCUAUUCUGACAUCCUGCAAAGACAUUCAAGUAGAAACUUUCCAAAAACUCACAAGUUCCAUGGAUGCAAGAAUUGUAAAAGUGCUAUCAAAUAAGGGGUCCUAUGUUAAUAUGUAACUUGACCUGUUAAGAUGUUUUUGAUUGAAAUAGCUUUUGAUGUCAGUGAAAUUGAUCUACUAAUGCUGCAAAUUCAACAAAUGACCAUUUUCAAUUCUCUACAACCUAUAAAAUCUUUUGAAACUCUGUGUGAGUAAUAAUUUGGAACAGUGCAUUUUAAGUUUUGUAUUUUUGAAAAACAUACUGUUUUCAUUGGGAGUUUUGUUCAGU